rnacentral:rRNA from 1 species
UAACAAGGAUUCCCCUAGUAACUGCGAGUGAAGCGGGAAGAGCUCAAAUUUAAAAUCUGGCGGCUUUUUGGUCGUCCGAGUUGUAACCUGGAGAGGCAUUUUCCGCGUUGGACCGUGUACAAGUCUCCUGGAAUGGAGCGUCAUAGAGGGUGAGAAUCCCGUCCAUGACACGGACCGCCAAUGCUCUGUGAUAUGCCUUCGAAGAGUCGCGUUGUUUGGGAAUGCAGCGCAAAAUGGGUGGUAAAUUCCAUCUAAAGCUAAAUAUUGGCGAGAGACCGAUAGCGAACAAGUACCGUGAGGGAAAGAUGAAAAGCACUUUGAAAAGAGAGUUAAACAGUACGUGAAAUUGUUGAAAGGGAAACGCUUGAAGUCAGUCGCGUUCCGUGGAACUCAGCCUUACUUCGGUUCGGUGUACUUUCCAUGUGAACGGGUCAACGUCAAUUUUGGCCGGUGGACAAAGACAAGGGGAAUGUAGCGUUGCUUCGGUGACGUGUUAUAGCUCUUUGUUGUAUACGCCGGCUGGGAUUGAGGACUGCAGCACGCCCUUGUGGCCGAGGGGUUCGCCUCUACGUACCGUGCUUAGGAUGUUGGCAUAAUGGCUUUAAGCGACCCGUCUUGAAACACGGACCAAGGAGUCUAACAUGCUUGCGAGUGUUCGGGUGGAAAACCCUUGCGCGUAAUGAAAGUGAAAGUUAGGAACCUUCUCGCAAGAGAGGGUGCACUGACGCCCGGCCCUGACGUUCUCUGACGGUGCUGCGGUAGAGCAAGUAUGUUGGGACCCGAAAGAUGGUGAACUAUGCCUGAAUAGGGCGAAGCCAGAGGAAACUCUGGUGGAGGCUCGUAGCGAUUCUGACGUGCAAAUCGAUCGUCAAAUUUGGG